GGCGCUAUAGCCAAGUGGUUACGGCGACAGAUUCGAAUGGUCAGCAGACCGUGCAACAUCUGUUCCUCUUUGAGGGCGCAGGUUCAAAUCCUGCUGGCGUCG